rnacentral:lncRNA from 1 species
UGGUAGCGACCUCACUGAUGGGAUUAGUGCCCUUAGAAGAGAGACCCUGAGAGAUCCCUUGGCCCUCUGCCAUGUAAGCAUGGCCAUCUAUGAACCAGGAAGCAGGCCCUCACCAGACACUGAUUCUCCCACAUGUCGUGAUCUUGGACUUCCCAGAAGGGACCACUCUCAACUUUCUGGACACAGAAGGCACUUCAUUGUCCGCCUGAUUUGCCCUCUCUCAUUCUCAGGAUGGAAGACCUCUCUAGCCAAUGGGAAGAUGGCAAGAUGUGUGAAUGUACCCCUGGGAGCAAAAUCACAGAGCCUGUGUAAUCCUCUAUACAUGUAGGGACUGAGUGUGGGUAUCUCUGGCCAGUGUGGAUGUUGACCACGUUGUUUCGUAACCCUGCCUCACUUGCUCCUCUCUCCCCAACCUCCAGAACUGCCUAUCUAACUCAUCUGUGGUGAUGGAAUGCUAUUUCUUUCACAUUACCCUGAUUAAGUAUCAUUAGAAAGGUAACUGCUGUGCUUAAAACAAAUAAAUCACCUAACACAUUCCAGAGAUAAAUUCAAAUUAUUUUUAGAUAAUCCAUCCUUUUGGAUUAUCCAAAUGACCACUGCUUCCCCUAGCAGGAAUAAUUGAGAACUGAGACAAAAAGAAACUUAACCAAAAUUUAAGCCAACCUGCAGACCAGCUAUAAGGCUUACUGUGGAAGAAAAUAUAUAGUGAUGGCAUUUGGGAGUAUGUGUCAUCCCUAGGAACAUGGUGGUGGUAAUUUCAGCAUUUGCAAAGCUCUGACUCAUAGCAAAGCAUGCUGUGCUAUGGGGAUAGACCCAGCUCUGGAUUGGACAGUUUCUGAGGCACAGUCACCCA